UACGUAGGGGGCGAGCGUUGUCCGGAUUUAUUGGGCGUAAAGAGCUCGUAGGCGGCUUGGCAAGUCGGGUGUGAAACCUCCAGGCUCAACCUGGAGACGCCACUCGAUACUGCCAUGGCUAGAGUCCGGUAGGGGACCACGGAAUUCCUGGUGUAGCGGUGAAAUGCGCAGAUAUCAGGAGGAACACCAAUAGCGAAGGCAGCUCGCUGGGACGGUACUGACGCUAAGGCGCGAAAGCGUGGGGAGCGAACAGG
rnacentral:rRNA from 1 species